rnacentral:ncRNA from 1 species
AUGUUAUUUUAUUUUGGUUAAUAUUUUUAUUAUUAUUUUAUUUUACAUGUAAAUUUUUGUGUGAAUUAAUUUAAUUUUUAAAAAAUUAAAUUUGUUGAUUUUAUUCGCAGUAAUUAAUAUUAAUAGAAAAAAGAAAUUUUGUGUUAGUAAUAAUAUAUAGUAUUGGUAAAAUUUGUGCCAGCUACCGCGGUUAUACAAAUAAUGCAAGUGAAAAUUUUUAGUAUUAGUUAAAUUAAAUAGAUUGUAAUAAUAUAAACAUAAAUUUAUUAGGUGAAAUUUUUAAAUUUAUAAAUUUAUUAUUAUAAAAAAAUAAUUUAAGCUAUAAACUUUUUAUAAUAAACUAGGAUUAGAUACCCUAUUAUUGAAAAUAAAUAUAUAAAUACUAAAGUAGUAUUAGUUAUAUUCUUAAAAUUUAAAAAAUUUGGCGGUGUUUUAGUCUAUUUAGAGGAAUCUGUCCUGUAAUUGAUAAUCCACAUUGAACCUUACUUAAAUUUGUUUAAUUUGUAUAUCGCCGUCAUCAGAAUAUGUUAUAAGAUAAAAAUUUUCUUAAUAUUUAAUUAAAUAAAAUGUCAGGUCAAGGUGCAGUUUAUGUUUAAGUAGAGAUGGAUUACAAUAAAUUUAUUUAUAUGGAAAAUUUUUUGAAAUAGAGAUUUGAAGGUGGAUUUAAUAGUAAUAUAAAAUAGAUUAUUUAUAUGAUUUUAGCUCUAAAACAUGUACAUAUCGCCCAUCGUUCUUAUUUUUAAAAUAAGAUAAGUUGUAACAUAGUAGAUGUACUGGAAAGUGUAUCUAGAAAGAC